AAGCUUGCUUCUUUGAUGACGAGUGGCGGACGGGUGAGUAAUGCUUGGGAAUCUAGCUUAUGGAGGGGGAUAGCUACGGGAAACUGUAGCUAAUACCGCGUAAUAUCGAAAGAUUAAAGUGUGGGACCUUCGGGCCACAUGCCAUAGGAUGAGCCCAAGUGGGAUUAGGUAGUUGGUGAGGUAAAGGCUCACCAAGCCGACGAUCUCUAGCUGGUCUGAGAGGAUGACCAGCCACACUGGGACUGAGACACGGCCCAGACUCC
rnacentral:rRNA from 1 species